rnacentral:lncRNA from 12 species
UGACAAGAGUAGCAGAAAGUCUGCAAAAAGCACAUGAAAUAGAAAUAACAGCUCAUAUUUGAACCAACAUGAUAGAAGUGUUACUGCAAAAGUGGAAAAGCCUCAGUGGUUACCCCAGUUAAAGAACCCUGCCAAAAUGACCAGCUGAUGCUGG